GAUGAAGAACGCAGCGAAAUGCGAUAAGUAAUGUGAAUUGCAGAAUUCAGUGAAUCAUCGAGUCUUUGAACGCACAUUGCGCCCCCUGGUAUUCCGGGGGGCAUGCCUGUCCGAGCGUCAUUGCCGCCCUCAAGCACGGGUUGUGUGUUGGGCCCCCGCCCCCCGGCUUCGGGGGGCGGGCCCGAAAGGCAGCGGCGGCACCGCGUCCGGUCCUCGAGCGUAUGGGGCUUCGUCACCCGCUCUGUAGGCCCGGCCGGCGCCCGCCGGCGACCCCAAUCAAUCUUUCCAGGUUGACCUCGGAUCAGGUAGGGAUACCCGCUGAACUUAAGCAUAUCAAUAAGCGGAGGA
rnacentral:misc_RNA from 1 species